rnacentral:rRNA from 1 species
UAGUCCACGCUGUAAACGAUGAGUGUUAGGUGUUGGGAUUUUCGGAUCUCGGUGCCGCAGCUAACGCAUUAAACACUCCGCCUGGGGAGUAAGAUCGCAAGAUUAAAACUCAAAGGAAUUGACGGGGACCUGCACAAGUGGUGGAACAUGCGGUUUAAUUCGAUACUACGCGAAGUACCUUACCAACUCUUGACAUGGUGAUCGCGAGAUUCAGAAAUGGAUUUCUUCAGUUCGGCUGGAUCACACACAGGUGUUGCAUGGCCGUCGUCAGCUCGUGUUGUGAGAUGUUAGGUUUAGUCCUGCAACGAGCGCAACCCCUAUCCUUAUUUGCCAGCGGGUAAGCCGGGAACUAUAAGGAAACUGCCAGCGAUAAGCUGGAGGAAGGUGGGGAUGAAGUCAGGUCAGCAUGGCCCUUAUGGGUUGGGCUACACGCGUGUUACAAUGGUAGUUACAAAGGGAAGCGAAAGAGUGAUCUGGAGCAAAUCCCAAAAAGGCUAUCUUAGUUCGGAUUG